ensembl:lncRNA
GUGCAGGAAGGGAGCCGUCACAGCCAGUCCCCUGGAUGGAACCUCAGGGGUGCUGUGUCCCCCUGGCCAAUACUGCUACGCAGGCACCCCGGCUCCGGUGGCUUGCCCCGCAGGCAGCUGGUCCAACAGCUCGGGAGUGCGUAGCCAAGGCGACUGCAGACCUUGUCCUGCGGGGUACUAUUGCAAUUCCGCCGGCCUCACCGGACCCACGGGACUCUGCGGCGGCGGGUAUUUCUGCGCUGAGGGAGCCGUCACAUCCACUCCUGCAGAUGGCGCUAGAGGCGGCUCCUGUCCCCUCGGCCAUUACUGCCCUGCUGGGGCGGGACGUCCUGUACCCUGCACCCCCGGGACGUACGUGGCCGCGCCGCACGCCACCGAGUGCCAGCCCUGCGACCCGGGAUGGUACUGCUCCUCAGGCUCCCAGCAGCUCUGUCCUGCAGGCUUUUACUGCCCCGCGGGAUGGGGCCACGACCCGCGGAGCUGUCCCGAAGGCACUUACAGCGGAGAGCCGGGACUGCGGUCCCUCUCUCAGUGCAGGCCGUGCGACGGAGGUCAUUACUGCUCGUCCGCGAAUAGCAGCCGCGUCAGCGGGCGCUGCCACGGGGGAUAUUACUGCACCCAGGGGAACACGUCGCCCACCCCUCUCUCACGGGACCCAGGAGAGGGAGGGCCCUGUCCACCUGGUUUCUACUGCCCAAGAGCAUCGGUCCAGCCUCUGCCAUGUCCGACCGGAACCUUCUCCAACCGCUCCAAACUAGUGGACCAGGAGGCGUGCCGGCUGUGUCCAGCGGGUCUGUAUUGUGACAGAGAGGCUCUCGUGGUGCCUGCCGGAGAGUGCAGGCAGGGCUUCUAUUGCGUGUUGGGAUCGGAGCGGCCUGACCCUCCCUCCAGGGACGCCAGGGGCGGACCCUGCCCCAGAGGUUAUUUUUGUUCCGAGGGCUCGCCGGAGCCUCGGCGCUGUCCGCGGGGAACCGUCAGCGAGGAGGAGGGCGGGGCCAGCUGCAGUCCCUGUCCCCACGGGUUCUACUGUCCACACGGUAAUGACUCCCUGUCAGAGCGCUACGAGUGUCCCGCGGGACAUUACUGCCCGGGGGGUACGUGGUCCGGACACCAGUACCCAUGCCCGGCCGGCUCCAUCAACCCUCGCCCCGGGACGGCCCGCCCACAGGAGUGCACUCCCUGCCCGCCAGGUUUGUUUUGCCGCGCCCCGGGGCAGAGCGCAGCGUCCGAC